UGGGCAGAGAGGGAGGAGAUGAAGAAGGAUGCUUUAUCACCUCAAGUAAGCUUCAUGCCCAGCAUGGAGCCCAACGCAGGGCUCAAACUCACAAUCGUGAGAUCAAGACCUGACUCCAGAUCAAGAAUCAGAGGCUCAACCUACUGAACCACCCAGACAUGUCCAGAAAAGCUGAAUCUUGAACAGAGCCUUGAAGAAAGUGCACCCAGCAGCUAUCCUCAAGGCCUUGCAGAAAGCACAGUCCCACUUUAGGGCCCCCUCACUGCUUCUGACACAUUCAGAGCUGUGUGAGAUCACACAAAGCCAUCAGGAAUACCUGCAGUUCCCAACCUGGAGAACUGAAAACAUUCCCCAGCAUGCUGCCAGCGUGAAGAAGCUCUGUAAUUACAGACAUGCAGGGGUUUGUGUUCCUGACCUCACUCAUCAAUGAAACACUUCCGUCCCCUUCACUUCCCACGGUGUCUUUAUCAAGGAAGCGGGAAGCUGGGCCCAUCAGAAAACCCAGGAUCCUGUGGAAAAGCUGCAUUAUAAUCGAUAGCCUCGUAAAUAAAUAAAUAGUCAACGCAUCCUGUCUCCAGCUCAGAGCUUCUUCAGGAAAAUCGAACCUCGACCCACUUCUGCUCGCUCAUUCUGGAUUUCUACGGAGGCCUCCAGAGGGAAGGAACACUUACAGGUCAUCUUGGGCAUCCCCCUGCCUCUGGGCCGGCCUGCCAUCAGUCAUGACCUGAAGGAAAUGAUUAGGAGGGGAGGAAUUCAGGCCUCAGAAGCAGUCGGUAAUCCAGACUCCUGGCUCUGAUGUGGCUAUCUCACAGCUGACAGACGUAGCUCUGGCUGCCCGGAACGUGGCAAAGGACUCAUUCCCUGGUACCUUCUAAGAGGCAAAGGCUGAGGGUAACUAGAGGAAGCUGAGAAUUCCUCUGCUCUGCUCUGCCUCGGCAGGAAGAGGGGACAGGAGGAGGGGAAAUGGGAAGGCCAGUGGCUCUCAUUCCAAAGGAGGAAAUGUUCCAGCUCCUCAAAUAAGCCAGCUCCAGAACUCACCAGCUCCCACCCAGGUCCACUCCAGUUUGGAGACUCCAUGGCUGCUUCCACAGCAGGAACAAAGAUGGACCUCUAUCCUGCCGGCCAUGAAGCCCUGGAGUGUGUGGACUGUACCUCCUUUCUUCCAUCUUUCUUGGACUCAUGCAGAGCUCUUGCCCUCCUUGUCAGAUUGGAUUGGGAGGCCCAAAGGGGCCACCUUUUACCCCCAAAUGGAAACUUCUCACAGACAGAAACCAUAUUUCCUUUUCCCAACCCUCUUCCCCAGGCUCUUACACCCUGCCUAGUUGUCUCCAUAAAGCAGCCGAUGCCCUUCUCAGCCCCUGCUGGACUCCUGGGACCCAGUUAGGAAGAAGAAAGAACCCAUAUUUCCAGGGGCCCAGUGCUCCACCUCAAGCA